rnacentral:tRNA from 2 species
GCCCUUGUAGCUCAAUGGUAGAGCACGCGGCUCAUAAUCGCUUGGUUGUAGGUUCGAAUCCUUCCGAGGGCACCA